UUGAUGGUAAUUACACAAGCCUAUAAGAAGCCCGGUAGGCUUCUUAGCAGCAGAUUUUUCCAUGAUAACUAGUUCAGGUAUGUAGACUUGCAGCUAGGCUAUCAACAGGGAUGCAGAUUGCGUACUGAGUUACUCAGUGAGCCCACCGUUAUGUCUUCUUGACUUAUCAUGAAGUAUGUAACAUACAAGGGUGACUCUUUGUGCAUGCAUGUACACCUCGCAGAUUUUUUUUAAAGGCUUUUGCAAGCUUGAAAUUUUAAAUGCUCAAAGAGGACUGCUGUGAUAAGAGCAUCUGAUGAUUUUUGGCCGAGAGUCCCAGCGUCACAUACAAUCUAUAUUGCAUCUGUUGCCUACAACACCUUUUUCCUUGGAGAAUUCAUGCAGCCUGAUUGGGAUAUGUUUCAUAGCGUUCACCCGAUGGCUGAAUACCAUGGAGCAGCUCGUGCGGUCGGAGGAAUUUUGCAUAAAGCUAUGGUAACUCUUUUACAGCUCAUGAUUAGUUUUCUAUAAAGCGGAAAUUUUGCAUAAAGCUAUGGUAACUUUAUUUGCAAUGUUUCCAGUUUAUGAUGUAGUAAGACGAGACACAUUUACAAAUCUUGCGGAUAUAAGGGCUAAGGAAAUCGAUCUCUACUCAACUAAUCAAGAUUGCAUCAAGAUGCUUGAUGGAAACAAAGUUGAUAAGGUAAUUCCUACAAAGGUUUACAACAACUAUACCUCCAUUCUCAGAGGACUUUUCAAUGCAGGGUGGCCUCAGAACUUCUAUGCUGAAAGUGGAAGGGUUGUCACGAAGAAAGAGGGAAUUGAUUUUGCUCGGGAGUAUGGAUGUCUUUUCCUUGAAUGUUGUGCAAAAACUCGAAUUAAUGUAUAACAAUGUUUUAAAGAGCUUGUUUUAAAGGUGCAUGCUCUGUCAACAUUUAUUUUUAUUUUAUUUCAGGAUGAUCAUGUGGACAUGGAAAAAGUUGUCCUUGGCAUUUGUGAUGGAAGAGUGGUCUGACGGAUCGAUUUCUGUCAGAAAAACCGCAUAAAACAGAUAGUCCACUCGUUUCAACUCAUAGUAGAAACCGAGUAGAAAUGAGUGGAGUCUGUUAUU